CAACCAAGUGACGUCAACAACGUCGAGGAAACGUCAGUAUUUGGUGGAAUAUAUACACGUGGUUGAACAUUACGUCAUAUCGACGUCUUUUGUAGGUGAUUUUAAAUACGUAAGAUUAAUGACGUUAAAAUAACGUUUAAAAUACGUUUUCAUUUCAGCCAGCCUAAGUCUGACGUCACGAAAUUGGGAGGAGCUUGGAACUUAAAAGUUACAAAACUAAGGUUAUGUUUGUAUCGUCGUUGUCGUUUCAUUUCAUUUCAUUGUUUGUUUGUCCUAGUAUUUAGUAUUUUGUUUUGGAUUCAUUUGGAUUUUGUUGGCUGUUUUGUGUGUAUUUUUUAAAACUUUUGUUUGUCAUUUGUAAAUUUUAUAAAUUUACCACAAUGCAAACCGCAGAUGUUUUAGAAAGAUAUUCAUUGAAGCUGAAAAUAAUUAGAGAUUUAGAUCCAUAUACAAUUCAGUCAUCAGAAUUGGAUUUUACAGUGCAUUCCAUCAAUUACCUACUGUUAUAAUGCUAUUCUAGAUAGACUGGUACAGUCUCACACAGCAGAUGAAAGCAUACAAAAGCCUUCAGGCACAUAAAAGCCUUCACAACUGGAUUUGUUUUGAAACAUUUGAUGUUUUGAUGAUUUCUAUAUUAUUGUUGAAAAGGUGAAGAAUUCCCAAAAAUCUAAAGCUAAACCACUAGAUGCUUGGGUGAUAGCCAGUUCCAAUGGCAUAGCAAAUGCACAUUGUAUGCGGAUGGCCGGUAAUAGUGAAGUUUGCAGCCAUAUUGCAGCAAUCUUAUUUGCAUCUGAGUAUGCCCACAGCAAGACAGAAGAAGAAGAACCCAAUGCAUGUACAGAUGUUACAGCUAUGUACAUUCUCUGGUGAAAAACUAAUUAGUUUUCAAACUGUUCGGUCAGAGUGCUUGUUGCGCUCUCUAAACGAACUGAAAUGAUAAGAUGGCUUUGGCUUCAUGUUGCAGUGAUAUGAAAAUGGUUAGUCAUUUUUAAUUAUAAUGUACUUCUUCAUCAUGAGUAUUUAUGUAUAGGGCUUUUCAUUCACAGUCAUUUGUUUCGAGCUUCUGUCAUGUGUCACAUAAUAUUAAUAUAUCUACGUCAUACGUUAUUGGUAUAUACCAAUUUAUUUAUUUAUUUAUCGUAUGGCACCUGACACAUUUACAUUUACAUACACACCAAAGACAUAUGGCGUAGAUAUAUUAAUAUUAUGUGACACAUGAGAUGCUCGAAACAAAUGACAGUCGAUAAAAAGCCCUAUUAGUCUUUUAAGUGUGUAUUAUCAGAUAUACAUGUAAAUUGUUUUUAUCAUUUUAAUUUGGUCAUUACAGUCCCUUAAUCAAAAAAUAUAUUUUUCAGGUGUCUGUGGAUCUUUUUGUAUGCAAAAAUUUGUAAUAAUUAUUUGAAAUCGUUUUGAGGAUUAUAAGAGUAUGGAAAUAUAUGUGAGAACACAGACUAUUAUAGUUUUGUCCUAUUUUUUAUCAUUCAAUUGUCUUCUUUAAAACUUAUAAAUAUAAAGCAGAUAGUUUUCAUUGAAAUUCAAUAUACCUAUUGGGUCUUAUUUGUAUGUAUUCAUUUUUGACGAAAGGUACGAUUCUGAUAACGACUGCAGACAGCAACUGCAAACAUCAGUUGCAGUUCUCGGCGUUAUGGACGUUACUACUUUGCACUAUUUAUCUGUAUGAGACUGAUUCCGACAUCUGACUGCAACUGCUGUCCGGCAGAACGUCAGUUGCUAAUAAUUAUGCAAAUUAUUAGUGCAAAAUAAUGACGUCUGUCACGGUGACAACUGUAACUGCCAUCUGCAGUCGUUGUCGGAAUCGUACCUUUAAAGUGUGUGGUAUAAUUAUAAUAAUUAUAUAUAUUAUAUAACUUAAAGACAUACCUCGACACCGUAAGGUACAAGAGGGCGGCUUAAGUAAGUAAGUAAGUAUAUAACUUAAAUGGUUUAAACUUAAGUUUGUUAUUACAUUGUGACUUAAAUGUUUAAUUUGUUAAUAAAUGAUUUAUUAGUUUAUAUGUUGUUUCACUUUUGACACAGUAAAUACUUAUAAUAUAAAAAGUGAAAAUUCUAUGUAUGUUAUAUAUGUUGCAUUGAGGAUAUUGUAAUUCUAUGCAUUUUAACAAGCCUUCCAUUUGGUUUUACUUAAAUGGAAAAAUUGCAAUUCUAACAAUGCCCAUACGAAUAAUUGAAUGGGUCUGCCGAAUAACGUUGUAAGCGCCACAUGGUUUGUUUUUGAGAAGUCAAAGAAAAAGUUUUAAUAUUGUGAUGAUGGUGAGUUUAUACA